ensembl:lncRNA
GCUGCAGCUCCAAUUCAACCCCUAACCUGGGAAACUCCAUAUACUGCGGAUGUAGCCCUAAAAGGAAAAGAACAAAAAUCAGGAAACAGGGAGUUCCCUGGUGGCCUAGUGGUUGAGGAUUCAGCAUUGUCACUGCUGUGGCUUGAGUUCAAUCCCUGGCCAGAUUCCUGGCUAGGCACUUCCACAUGCCAUCAGCACAGCCUCCCCCCUCCCCCCAAAAAAAGAGAGAAAACAAUUGACAAGUGAGAUUGCUUCUGAGGAUAAAAUAUGCGAACUCUAUUUCAGGUUUCCAUCUUAAAGAUGCCUGUCUUUUGCAGCUUCCCAGGGGAGAGGAGUACGGAAAAGUAGAAAGCUCUGGGGAGUGGAGACCUGCAUUCCUCUGCUGCCCAAGAGUUGAAACCUUGCCACUUUACCUCUCUGGCCUCCAGUUUUCUCAGCCCUUACGGGUUGGGAACAGGACCUAUGGGGAUGCAACCAUGCAGACUAAACACUUGAGGCCCACAUGAUGCACGGCCUAGAAAGUCUGGCGAGGGAGUAAAUGAUUUGAUGUAAUUGUCAACAUGAAGAGUCAGCUGUUGUUUAAAGGGAUAAGGAUGAUAUUUGAGGUCUUGUGGAGAAACUCUGUUGUGUUCCAGGUCAGUGAAGAGUGUGUGGACCGCCUGGAUCAUGCAUCAGGCUGAGUGAGGCAUGCUCUGGGUUCACUUAUGGGUCUCAUCUCUCAGACUCCCCCAUUCUGCUUUAGGCUCCUUCCAGAGAGUGGGCUGACAUUCCAUUGUUCAUAGUGCUGAGAGCCUAUAGGCUGUAUAAAUUAAAACUAUGUCAUUUAUAGCUGUCUAUACAUGGAGAUGCACAGAAACUAGAAAAAUAUCCUUCAUAUGUUAAAAAGGUGAAGUGGUGAGUAAGUUUCUUUUUUAUUCUGCUCUUAUAGCUAUGCUAUUUUUUAUGCAAAAACAUUUAAAACUCAAGAAAAAGAAAAAAGUAAAUUCUCUAACCUAUAACAUGUUAAAUUCUUUUUCUUUUUCUUUUUCCGGCCUCACCUGUGACAUAUGGAUGAUCCCUGGCUAAGCUGCAGCUGCAGCUGCAGGCCUACACCACAGCCACGCAAUGCCAGAUCUGAGCUGCAUCUGUGACCUAUGCUGCACCUUGAGGCGAUGCCAGAUCUUUAAUCCACUGAGCGAGGCCAGGGAUCCAACCUACAUCCUAUGGGUACUAAUUAGGGUCUUAAACCAAUGAACCACAACAGGAACUCCCUAAAAUAUAUUUCUUUUAAUGGUGUUCUGUGGAGUGGAAAUUUUUUCAGAGGCGUUAUCUCUACCAGCUUUAGUUAUUUAACUAGCACUUCUUAUUUUUCCUUCCAAGACUAGUGAUACAUGUCUUGCUCACUCAAGUUGGUUGGAAGCCUUAGGGAAACUUGUUAAAAUACCACAGUGACCAAGAAUUCUACAUUCACAGGUUGAGCUUCAUAAAUUCUUGGCUCCAGAAAUCAAGACCUGCUGAUGAAGUGAGCUCCUGCUGGUUCAAUAAGGACAUUCCAAAAAGAAUCUAGGUUUGGGAUGCUGAGGAUAUGAGUCACUGCCUUGGAAGAUCCAGAUAUCUUGUUAACAAAGCUUUUUAAAGUCAGGGAGGAAAGCCCCAAAUUGAGUUAAAGGAAAUAUUUCAAUUUCAGUUUACGGAGUACUUCUAAAUGAAGGGGAAAUGUCAGAGAAUUAUUGUUUUCACUGUCAUAAGAUAAUGUCCUCUAAAAAAGUUGAAUUUGGAACAGUUCAUGAAAAUAAUCUGAAGGGCAUCAUCAUAAAUCUGGGAAGUUAUUUCCUGUUUUUAGCUGGUUUGGCUUAAAAUUGAAUUGUAGUCCAUAAAAAUGAAUGCCAGGUCUAAUUUUUAUUUGGCUCUCAGAGUCCCUUUUUUCAAUAAACUCAUUCCAUUUCAAAUUA